CCAGUUUGACGGAGCAAGAUGGCGACGCGCGGACGUGAGAGCUCGGCGCUCGUUUUAAAUCCUUCUCCAUCCUUCAUCUAUGAUCAACAUCUCACUUUUCUGACGCCCCGGGUCGUUGGUAAAAAAGAUGUGGAUUCAUCACCAGUGCCGUGAGUUGAGGCGUCUGGGCGUUUUUGCGUCUCUGUCUCCCUGAAGCUCCAGCCUUCAGCGUGGUCACGUUAACGAUGUGGAUUCAUCACCGGUGCCGUGAGUUGAGGUGUCUGGGCGUUUUUGCGUCUCUGUCUCCCUGAAGCUCCAGCCUUCAGCGUGGUCACGUUAACGAUGUGGAUUCUUCACCAGUGCCGUGAGUUGAGGCGUCUGGGCGUUUUUGCGUCUCUGUCUCCCUGAAGCUCCAGCCUUCAGCGUGGUCACGUUAACGGUUUCUGGUGACGGUAAACGGAGUUGUAGCAGAAAAGGCGUGUGGGCGUUUCUGCGUCUCUGUCUCCCUGAAGCUCCAGCCUUCAGCGUGGUCACGUUAACGGUGGAGGUGAGACCUCUGGUGGUCAUGUGACCAGGGAUCAUGUGACCAGGGAUCAUGUGACCAGGGAUCAUGUGACCAGGGAUCAUGUGACCAGUGUCGGGUCGUACGUGGAGAGGAAAGGAGCGGCGUCUCCUUAGGUCCGAUGAUUUCCUGCAGGUUUCAUCCUCCAGAAAGACUUGGAGGAAAAUGUUGAAGCUUCUACGCUGCAUUUGAAAAUAAAAUUCAAGUUAU